AUGGUAGGUGUUGCAAGAGGGCAUCGUAGGGCAGACACACUCAAACCAUACUCAAAGAAAACUAGUCAAUUUAAUCACAUUAGGACCACAGCCUUCUCUAACUCAAUGAAACUAAGCCAUGCCCUGUGGGGCCACCCAAGACGGGGGGCAUGGUGGAGAGGUCUGGCAGAAUGUGGUCCACUGGAGAAGGGAAUGGCAAACCACUUCACUAUUCUUGCCUUGAAAACCCCAUCAACUGUGAAAAUGCAAAAUGAUAGGAUACUGAAAGAGGAACUCCCCAGGUCAGUAGGUGCCCAAUUCGCUCCUGGAGAUCAGUGGAGAAAUAACUCCAGAAAGAAUGAAGGGAUGAAGCCAAAGCAAAAACAAUACCCCGUUGUGGAUGUGACUGGUGAUAGAAGCAAGGUCCAAUGCUGUAAAGAGCAAUAUUGCCUAGGAACCUGGAAUGUCAGGUCCACGAAUCAAGGCAAAUUGGUCAAACAAGAGAUGGCAAGAGUGAAGGUUGACAUUCUAGGAAUCAGCGAACUAAAAUGGACUGGAAUGGGUGAAUUUAACUCAGAUGACCAUUAUAUCUACUACUGCGGGCAGGAAUCCCUUAGAAGAAAUGGAGUAGCCAUCAUGGUCAACAAAAGAGUCCGAAAUGCAGUACUUGGAUGCAAUCUCAAAAAUGACAGAAUGAUCUCUGUUCGUUUCCAAAGCAAAUCAUUCAAUUUCACAGUAAUCCAAGUCUAUGCAGAGUACAUCGUGAGAAAUGCUGGGCUGGAAGAAGCACAAGCUGGAAUCAAGAUUGCCAGGAGAAAUAUCAAUAACCUCAGAUAUGCAGAUAACAUCACCCUUAUGGCAGAAAGCGAAGAGGAACUAAAAAGCCUCUUGAUGAAAGUAAAAGAGGAGAGUGAAAAAGUUGGCCUAGAGCUCAACAUUCAGAAAACGAAGAUCAUGACAUCUGGUCCCAUCACUAUAUGGGAAAUAGAUGGGGAAACAGUGGAAACAGUGUCAGACUUUAUUUUUUGGGGCUCCAAAAUCACUGCAGAUGGUGACUACAGCCAUGAAAUUAAAAGACGCUUACUCCUUGGAAGAAAAGUUAUGACCAACCUAGAUAGUAUAUUCAAAAGCAGAGACAUUACUUUGCUGACUAAGGUCCGUCUAGUCAAGGUUAUGGUUUUUCCUGUGGUCAUGUGUGGAUGUGAGAAUUGGACUGUGAAGAAGGCUGAGCAUGGAAGAAUUGAUGCUUUUGAACUGUGGUGUUGGAGAAGACUCUUGAGAGAUGCCUGGAUGGCAUCACUGACUCGAUGGAUGUGA
rnacentral:lncRNA from 1 species